GACGAGCGCUGGCGGCGUGCCUAAUACAUGCAAGUUGAGCGCUGAAGGUUGGUACUUGUACCAACUGGAUGAGCAGCGAACGGGUGAGUAACGCGUGGGGAAUCUGCCUUUGAGCGGGGGACAACAUUUGGAAACGAAUGCUAAUACCGCAUAAAAACUUUAAACACAAGUUUUAAGUUUGAAAGAUGCAAUUGCAUCACUCAAAGAUGAUCCCGCGUUGUAUUAGCUAGUUGGUGAGGUAAAGGCUCACCAAGGCGAUGAUACAUAGCCGACCUGAGAGGGUGAUCGGCCACAUUGGGACUGAGACACGGCCCAAACUCCUACGGGAGGCAGCAGUAGGGAAUCUUCGGCAAUGGACGAAAGUCUGACCGAGCAACGCCGCGUGAGUGAAGAAGGUUUUCGGAUCGUAAAACUCUGUUGGUAGAGAAGAACGUUGGUGAGAGUGGAAAGCUCAUCAAGUGACGGUAACUACCCAGAAAGGGACGGCUAACUACGU
rnacentral:rRNA from 1 species